CAGUAGCCGCGGGAAUACAGAGGGUGCGAGCGUUAAUCGGAUUUACUGGGCGUAAAGCGUGCGUAGGCGGCUUUUUAAGUCGGAUGUGAAAUCCCUGAGCUUAACUUAGGAAUUGCAUUCGAUACUGGGAAGCUAGAGUAUGGGAGAGGAUGGUAGAAUUUCAGGUGUAGCGGUGAAAUGCGUAGAGAUCUGGAGGAAUACCGAUGGCGAAGGCAGCCAUCUGGCCUAAUACUGACGCUGAGGUACGAAAGCAUGGGGAGCAAACAGGAUUAGAUACCCCGGUAGUCCCUGUCUCUUAUAC
rnacentral:rRNA from 1 species